AUUGAACGCUGGCGGCCGGCUUAACACAUGCAAGUCGAGCGAGCGGCGGCCGGGUGAGUAAUGUCUGGGAAACUGCCUGAUGGAGGGGGAUAACUACUGGAAACGGUAGCUAAUACCGCAUACCAUCAGAUGUGCCCAGAUGGGCUUAGCUAGUAGGUGGGGUAAUGGCUCACCUAGGCAACGAUCCCUAGCUGGUCUGCGAGGAUGACCAGAAACAAGGAAAGUGAGACACGGUCCAGACUCCUACGGGAGGCAGGAGUGGGGAAUAUUGCACAAUGGGCGCAAGCCUGAUGCAGCCAGGCCGCGUUAGUGAAGAAGGCCUGCGGGUUGUAAAGCACUUUCAGCGAGGAGGCGUUACUCGCAGAAGAAGCACCGGCUAACUCCGUGCCAGCAGCCGCGGUAAUUC
rnacentral:rRNA from 1 species